UACGUAGGGGGCAAGCGUUGUCCGGAAUCAUUGGGCGUAAAGCGCGUGUAGGCGGGUCGGUAAGUCCGCUCUGAAAGCCCGGGGCUCAACCCCGGGAGGCGGGUGGAUACUGUCGACCUCGAGUCCGGAAGAGGCGAGUGGAAUUCCUGGUGUAGCGGUGAAAUGCGCAGAUAUCAGGAGGAACACCCAUUGCGAAGGCAGCUCGCUGGGACGUUACUGACGCUGAGACGCGAAAGCGUGGGGAGCAAACAGG
rnacentral:rRNA from 1 species